rnacentral:rRNA from 1 species
UACAGAGGGUGCGAGCGUUGUCCGGAAUCACUGGGCGUAAAGGGCGCGUAGGUGGUGGCUUAAGCGUGCGGUGAAAGCUCGGAGCUCAACUCCGAGUCGGCCGUGCGAACUGGGCUCACUGGAGCAUAGUAGAGGCAGGUGGAAUUCCGGGUGUAGCGGUGGAAUGCGCAGAUAUCAGGAGGAACACCGAUGGCGAAGGCAGAUCUCUGGGCCGUAACUGACGCUGAGGAGCGAAAGCGUGGGGAGCGAACAGG